rnacentral:rRNA from 1 species
UACGGAGGGUGCGAACGUUGCUCGGAAUCAUUGGGCGUAAAGCGCACGUAGGCGGCGGCGUAAGCGGGAUGUGAAAGCCCAGGGCUCAACCCUGGAAGUGCAUCCCGAACUGUGUCGCUUGAAUCUCGGAGGGGGACAGAGAAUUCCCGGUGUAGAGGUGAAGUUCGUAGAUAUCGGGAGGAAUACCAGUGGCGAAGGCGCUGUCCUGGACGAAGAUUGACGCUGAGGUGCGAAAGCGUGGGGAGCAAACAGG